rnacentral:rRNA from 1 species
GACGAACGCUGGCGGCGUGCUUAACACAUGCAAGUCGAACGGAAAGGCCCUGCUUUUGUGGGGUGCUCGAGUGGCGAGCGGGUGAGUAACACAUGAGUAACCUGCCCUUGACUUUGGGAUAACUUCAGGAAACUGGGGCUAAUACCGGAUAGGAGCUCCUGCUGCAUGGUGGGGGUUGGAAAGUUUCGGCGGUUGGGGAUGGACUCGCGGCUUAUCAGCUUGUUGGUGGGGUAGUGGCUUACCAAGGCUUUGACGGGUAGCCGGCCUGAGAGGGUGACCGGCCACAUUGGGUCUGAGAUACGGCCCAGACUCCUACGGGAGGCAGCAGUGGGGAAUAUUGCACAAUGGGCGGAAGCCUGAUGCAGCAACGCCGCGUGCGGGAUGACGGCCUUCGGGUUGUAAACCGCUUUCGCCUGUGACGAAGCGUGAGUGACGGUAAUGGGUAAAGAAGCACCGGCUAACUACGUG